rnacentral:tRNA from 1 species
AAAAAAUUAGUUAAUAAAUAACAUUAGUUUGUCAAACUAAAAUAAUCAAUUUUUUUGAUAUUUUUUA